rnacentral:lncRNA from 10 species
GACUCCUGCGCAAGCGCAGAGUGAAGGGCCGGGAACAGUGGAGGGUGCGAGGAAGACAAUGGGGGAGGACCCUGAGGCGGCCUCUGUGAGCCGACAGGAACACGUGGUCGAUCAGAGAGAGACUCGAGGUUCGUGAACGGAUGGGGAGGACCCUGAAAAGCACUGUGGAAUACAGGUUUCUAGUAACUUCAAAAUCACAUCAUUUGGACUGGCUUCUUUGGGAUGUCCGCUCUGCAUAUCUACUAAGGAAUUAAGAAAUAAUGGCUUCAGCAAGAAACAAGGCAGGAAAGUGCAGUGACAUGAGGACCAUACAGGGAAGGAGCUGUCCCCAAAGCAGGGUCUUUGUGACUUGUACCUUGUGCGGACCUCCUACUCAUCCUGUGACUAAGAACACUGAACUUCCUGGGGUUACAGCCCACAGGUCUCAGCCUCAUUUCAUCCAGCCCCUAUUCAAGAUGGAGUCGCUCUGGUUCAAAUGCCUCUGACACUAGUAAGGAUCACAGGUGGCAUCAACAGGUUUGGAGCAAACCUGAGUGUCUCCCGGUUGGUCACAUCUCAACUGACGAAAUCCACGACCAGCAGAGAGCAGCCUCCUUGCCCCCUGUGCUCACUGAGUCAUCCAGCCCAUUUUGACCAAGAUUAUGUGAGUUGCUGGAGCAGAGGUUGGUUGAGGGAGCUCCCACUGUAUGUAAUCACCGUGUCUUGCACAAAAUAAAUAGAAAACACAAGAAUACACUCUUAUGCAUGAUCCUA